UCUCACACAUAAAACCUUGCUAAAAAUGAAUUUAUAAUCCGAGAUUACAAAAUGCAUGAGGCAGCAAUCCACCAUGAAAGCAAGAGUCAGCUGACACAAAUAAAAACUUGGUUAAAUGAAUGAAUGGUGAAUGCUUUAGGUAAUUUCUCUCUUUGGAGAGAAAAAGGCUCUUGUUUGUCACUCAGAGAAGGUUAGAUUAGUAUACCCCCAUUUUAGGAGCAAGAAAAUGAAGGAACAGACAGGAAGUACGUCCUGAAAUGAGAUGGUUUUUCGUCAGCCACCUGAGAUCUGGUGGGGCCACCAACCUCCUGGUCCAAUAAGCCCAGGCCAGGUUGCUUCACUAAAUCAGGAAAUAAAAUGAGCUGGUGGCUUUGAUGAGGAGGCUGGGAUGGCAAAUGCUCACACUGGGACUAGGGAGGGGUUUAGCAGUGGUCAGGAAAAGGAGGAAGCCAGCACUUAGUGAGAAGCACUCCAGGUCACCAUCUAUUGGAUUUGCAGGUUUAUUUCCAGGUGAGGGAUACCCACUCACCUUCGAGUCACUAAACGCCCUUGGACAUUUUAGGUAUAACCCACACAACCCCACAACCUGGGGCCUCAAAUGACCUAACUGAUGGGUCCAGGAAGGCACAUGCCCCAGUGUGUAGUUACAGAAACUCAGAUCUGAAGGAAACGGUCUCACCUCAAACCCUCACCUGCCUCAUUUCUAAUCCCUUUGCACCCCCAGCACCCGCCUCCCAUGGUCACACUCAGACGGAGGCACAGAAGUGGAAUGCUCUGGGCCUCAGGUGGGAGGCGCACUUCCAUGCACCACAGCCGCUGUGUCCGUCUCUGCCUUCCCUCUGCCCCGUUCCCAGCGGCCUUCAUCAGAACGACCACCUGGGCGCACAGCGACACACCGUCUGCCACUCUCUCUACCUCAUUCCAGGACUCAGACAGGAAAACUCCUCUGUGGUUAAACGAUAACAGAAAUAAAAGCAACAUAACAAAAGGACAUGUUGGCUGCUGCUUUGAGAAUAUGGAUGCAGCGUUCAGUUCUGGAGCCAGGUUCUUUAGGAUGUGACUGCUCGCCAACUGUCACUGAAGGACGAGGACGGAGCCCUGCACAGCCAUUUUAUUAGCAAUCCAAGAAGAGAUGCGCUGCCUGGCAGCCCAGGGCCACCCUGCAGCAGCCCCGAGGA